ensembl:lincRNA
GGGGAAAGGAAUGUAUGUAUAAGUGCCAAUCAUUUUACCAAGCUGUUAGUUCUUGAGGCUGAAUACCAGGAGCUGUUUUGGCAGCUAGUAUAAUAGAAGUAACAGGGAAUGGCAAGAGAAGGCUGUUCCAGUUUCUCUUUCUCUGACUACCCAGGAUUGAAAGAUGUUGUUUCAGCUGGAGAAUUUAAAACGGGUUCUUACUCACUUUUUGCUAAAAGAGACUGGGCUGCUUUCAGUGUUGUAAUCCAUAGGCAUGGAGAAGGGUCACCACCUGAUCUUGUUAAGGAGAUCAUGAGGUUAAAGCUGUGGCAGGGUCCUUUCUCAAAACUCUGGCUCUUCUCAGAAUAAUGUUUGGCCAGGUGUUAAUCUGUGUCCUGAGGGGAAGUUCUGGAAUUCGUUAUUCAUCCCUGGGGGUAGGGGUAGGAGGAGGAGUUGCCCUUCUGGGAGGGGACUGGGGCCAGGACCUGCCUCCUGCCUUUACUGACAUGUGCCAUUUGUGAUGAAGGCGGCUGAAGCCCAUUUGAGGAGUUCUCCUGUCAGCCAGCCAAGAGAGCAACCCAGAGGGAGAGAGAGAGGAGGGAGAGGCAGACUGCUCUGCAAGGCAGUCCUGGAGUGCAGUUUCCGGAGCGAUAUCGCACCGCGCUGUAGGCGCCAAGGGAAGGUGUAUAGGAACAUUAGGCGGAAGGAGGCCAGAUUAAUAGUGCAUUUUCCUGUGUCUUUGCCUUCAGCCCCUCCUUUGAAUACAUGUCAUCCUUUGGAAAACUCAGCAUCUGGAAGAAGCCUUUGCUGAAAAGCGGCUUUUUCUUCUGCAUUCUACUGUUUUUGUUUUUUCUCUUCCUCUUUUUAUUUUUAUUUUUUUCCUAUCUCCUUUUCCUCUGAGAGCAGGAGGUGAGACAAUGAUCAAGUCAAGCUGGUUCUAUGUUAAGUUCAAGUAUGCAGAGAAGCUCAAGCCAGGGCAGAACAGCUGCAGGGACAGUGACAGUGAGAGCGCCAGUGGAGAAUCCAAAGGCUUCCACAGGAGCAGCUCCCGGGAAAGGCUCAGCGACAGUUCAGCUCCUUCCAGCUUGGGAACAGGCUACUUCGCUGCAGUUCUGUAGCUUGGGUAACGGUCAGAGGAACUCUAAUGCCAGAACAAAUGAUGCUGCUAAACGGAAAGAGCAGGAGUCUUCUCUCUACAAAAUGCCUCACAAAGGAGACUUUCUUUGCUCCUCUUGGUACAUGUGAGAGUUUUAUAUGAGAGGGCACUCUGCAAACUUUGGAAGCAGCUUGGAUUUUCAUUUUUCCGUUGCAGAGAUCAAGGAAGAUAGGCCUUUAGAAGAUGCGUCUUAAAAGACAGAAAGAGACUCACAGACUUCGAGAACGAACUUAUGGUUGCCAGGGGGUGGGUGAGGGGAGGACGGGGGGAAAAGAUAAUUAAGGAGCUGAGGGUGGACUUGUAUACACUGCUAUAAUUAAAAUGGAUAACUGACAGGGAACUACUGUAGAGCCCAGGGAACUCUGCUUAGUGUUGUGGCAACCUGGAUGGGAGGGAGUUUGGAGGAGAAUGGAUACAUGUAUAUGUAUGGCUGAGUCCCUUGCUGUUCACUGGAAACUAUCACAGCCUUGUUAAUUGGCUAUAUCACAAUACAAAAUAAAAAGGUUUUUAAAAAAUCUAGAGAUGAUACAUAGAGGGUGUCAGCAAGCUUAUUACUUGUGUCAAUAAUAUGCAGAAUUUCUUUGUUUUCAAAUUGCUUAGAAGAUUCUAAUUCUUCUUCUUUCUACAUCCAGUUUUGUUUGGCCAUUCAUAUUUGACUUCUAAUGCUUUGUUUGAUACAGAUUCUACUGACCACAGUUUCCCUUCGAUGAGAAGUUAAAUAACCUCCCUCCUCAUUUAUAGUGUGAUUUAGUUUAACCUUCCUUUGUCCCUUUUUUCUCUACUCCUCCCAUCCCAAUUCAGGUAUCAGAUCCUUUGACAAUUGUUAACCUGUCCUUCUGGGAUUGUUUGGCAUUAAGCUAUGACUGCUGCAUUUCUUCUAAUAAAUUAGAUUCUUAAAAGAAUGCUGCCUGCCAAGAAGCAAAGUCAUUACAUAGUGUAUAUUUUCAAUGCACUGCUAUAAAAAUCUCCUUA